UUUCCCGGUUGAUCCCGCCGGACCUGACUGCUAUCGGAUUGGUACUAAGCCAUGCGAGUCGUUGUAGCAAUACAAGGCGGACGGCUCAGUAACACGUAGUCAACCUAACCUAUGGACGUGGAUAACCUCGGGAAACUGAGAAUAAACCGCGAUAGAUCAUUAUGCCUGGAAUGGCUUAUGGUUUAAACAAUUUAUUGCCGUAGGAUGGGACUGCGGCCUAUCAGCUUGUUGGUGAGGUAAUGGCCCACCAAGGCUAUAACAGGUACGGGCUCUGAGAGGAGAAGCCCGGAGAUGGGUACUGAGACACGGACCCAGGCCCUAUGGGGCGCAGCAGGCGAGAAACCUUAGCAAUGUGCGAAAGCACGACUAGGUUAAUCCGAGUGAUUUCUGUUGAAGAAAUCUUUUGUCAGUCGUAAAAACCACAGACGAAUAAGGGGUGGGCAAGUCUGGUGUCAGCCGCC
rnacentral:rRNA from 1 species